rnacentral:rRNA from 1 species
UACGUAGGGUGCGAGCGUUGUCCGGAAUUAUUGGGCGUAAAGAGCUCGUAGGCGGUGUGUCGCGUCGGUCGUGAAAACUUGGGGCUUAACUCUGAGCUUGCGGUCGAUACGGGCAUCACUUGAGUUCGGCAGGGGAGACUGGAAUUCCUGGUGUAGCGGUGAAAUGCGCAGAUAUCAGGAGGAACACCGGUGGCGAAGGCGGGUCUCUGGGCCGAUACUGACGCUGAGGAGCGAAAGCGUGGGGAGCGAACAGG